UGUAGGAGAAGUCAGCUCAACUAUUCUCCCUAAUUCAAAUUUUUAGGUCAAAGAAGAACGGAGAGUUCACCUACUACGGACGAAACUCGAUCCACCCUCAUUCGACGAAAUCGAAACGCAAUUCACCUUGACGUUCGAUAUGCUUUUCUGCUCGCGAUUGUUUGGGAUGAAGAACUCCGUGUUCUUGUGUUGUCGAUUGUGAUGAAGACUGAAGGAUUUGUUCGUGUGUGCGUUCCAUUGUCGAGUGGAGAUGAAGAUGAUUUUGUGUUGAAAUGCGUUGCCAUGAAGGCCGAAAUUGGAAUUACGCAUCGAAUCCGAAGCCUCCUCCAAAAUUCGUGAGUUUUUGCAACGAAUCGAAGCCGAAACCUCCUCCAAUAUCCGUUCCGAAUUAGAUUUGGGAUGGAAGGUUCAGUGUUCAACGUGAAUGGAAGUGUUCAUGAGAAUGAUGAGUUGAGUGAAGGAGAUUUGAAGAAUCAAUUGGAGAGUGGAUAAUGAAUGUUGCAAAAUGAUGAUCAAUGACUCUGAAUCACAGUCGAAGCUUGGAACCAGAUUUCGGGUUACUGCACUUUGGUUUGAAAAUAUUGCAGAUGGACUUUGGUUUGAAAAUAUUGCAGAUGGACUUUGGUUUUAUGCUAGCUAUUGUAAUGAAUUAGGAUUUUGUAGUUUCUUUUUUAAAAUGAGAAUGUAAUGGUUCUGUAUGUUUGAAAUGGCAAUGGUUAAACGAGGAAAUGUAAUGUAACGUAUAUUGAAUUAAAAUUUUGGAUUUUGGUUGUGAAAUGUAUACUAUCUAUGAUUGAAAUGAAAGUUAAUUCUUGAAUUAA